rnacentral:rRNA from 1 species
GAGUUUGAUCAUGGCUCAGAUUGAACGCUGGCGGCAUGCCUUACACAUGCAAGUCGAACGGCAGCACGGGAGCUCGCUCCUGGUGGCGAGUGGCGAACGGGUGAGUAAUGCAUCGGAACGUAUCCUGGAGUGGGGGAUAACGUAGCGAAAGUUACGCUAAUACCGCAUAUUCUGUGAGCAGGAAAGCGGGGGACCUUCGGGCCUCGCGCUCUUGGAGCGGCCGAUGUCGGAUUAGCUAGUUGGUGAGGUAAAGGCUCACCAAGGCGACGAUCCGUAGCAGGUCUGAGAGGAUGAUCUGCCACACUGGAACUGAGACACGGUCCAGACUCCUACGGGAGGCAGCAGUGGGGAAUUUUGGACAAUGGGGGCAACCCUGAUCCAGCCAUGCCGCGUGAGUGAAGAAGGCCU